rnacentral:rRNA from 1 species
ACCGCCCGUCACACCAUGGGAGUUUGUUGCACCAGAAGCAGGUAGCUUAACCGCAAGGGGGGCGCUUGCCACGGUGUGGCCGAUGACUGGGUG